rnacentral:rRNA from 1 species
GACGAACGCUGGCGGCGUGCUUAACACAUGCAAGUCGAACGGAAAGGCCCGGCGUUUGUGGGGUGCUCGAGUGGCGAACGGGUGAGUAACACGUGAGUAACCUGCCCUUGACUGUGGGAUAACUUCAGGAAACUGGGGCUAAUACCGCAUAGGAGCUCCUGCUGCAUGGUGGUGGUUGGAAAGUUUCGGCGGUGGGGGAUGGACUGGCGGCUUAUCAGCUGGUUGGUGGGGUAGUGGCUUACCAAGGCUUUGACGGGUAGCCGGCCUGAGAGGGUGACCGGCCACAUUGGGACUGAGGUACGGCCCAGACUCCUACGGGAGGCAGCAGUGGGGAAUAUUGCACAAUGGGCGGAAGCCUGAUGCAGCAACGCCGCGUGCGGGAUGACGGCCUUCGGGUUGUAAACCGAUUUCGCCUGUGACGAAGCGUGAGUGACGGUAAUGGGUAAAGAAGCACCGGCUAACUACGUG